GACGAACGCUGGCGGCGUGCUUAACACAUGCAAGUCGAACGGAAAGGCCCUGCUUUUGUGGGGUGCUCGAGUGGCGAACGGGUGAGUAACACGUGAGUAACCUGCCCUUGACUUUGGGAUAACUUCAGGAAACUGGGGCUAAUACCGGAUAGGAGCUCCUGCUGCAUGGUGGGGGUGGGAAAGUUUCGGCGGUUGGGGAUGGACGCGCGGCUUAUCAGCUUGUUGGUGGGGUAGUGGCUUACCAAGGCUUUGACGGGUAGCCGGCCUGAGAGGGUGACCGGCCACAUUGGGACUGAGAUACGGCCCAGACUCCUACGGGAGGCAGCAGUGGGGAAUAUUGCACAAUGGGCGGAAGCCUGAUGCAGCAACGCCGCGUGCGGGAUGACGGCCUUCGGGUUGUAAACCGCUUUCGCCUGUGACGAAGCGUGAGUGACGGUAAUGGGUAAAGAAGCACCGGCUAACUACGUG
rnacentral:rRNA from 1 species